GUGGCAAGAUGGUGGCGCGCAGGACGAAGCUCGCGGCGCGGGACCCGGAGGACGGUAUCCCGAGCCCACCGUGCUACGCAGCUAUUCCAAUCAAGUUCUCUGAAAAGCAACAGGCUUCUCACUACCUCUAUGUGAGAGCACACGGCAUUCAACAAGGCACCAAGUCCACCUGGCCUCAGAAGAGGACUCUUUUUGUCUUCAAUGUGCCCCCAUACUGCACAGAGCAGGAGAGCCUGUCCUGCCUCCAGUCCACCUGUGGCCUUGUCCAGUCUGUAGAGUUGAAGGAGAAGCUGGAGCUGGCUGGGAGUCAAGGUCGAAGUUUUUUCAUCCAAAGCCAGUUCCGGGUUUCCAGGUAGCCUACGUGGUGUUCCAGAAGCCAAGUGGGGUGUCAGCGGCCUUGGCCCUGAAGGGCCCCCUGCUGGUGUCCACAGAGAGCCACCCUGUGAAGAGUGGCAUUCACAAAUGGAUCAGUGACUACGCAGACUCUGUGCCCGACCCUGAGGCCCUGAGGGUGGAAGUGGACACGUUCAUGGAGGCAUAUGACCAGAAGAUCGCUGAGGAAGAAGCUAAGGCCAAGGAGGAGGAGGGGGUCCCUGACGAGGAGGGCUGGGUGAAGGUGACCCGCCGGGGCCGGCGGCCUGUGCUCCCCCGGACUGAGGCAGCCAGCUUGCGGGUGCUGGAGAGGGAGAGACGGAAGCGCAGCCAAAAAGAGCUGCUCAACUACGCCUGGCAGCAUCGAGAGAGCAAGAUGGAGCAUCUAGCGCAGCUGCGCAAGAAGUUUGAGGAGGACAAGCAGAGGAUCGAGCUGCUGCGGGCCCAGCGCAAAUUCCGACCCUACUGAGCCGUGAGAGCCGCAGUGGAUGGCUGGAGGUGCAGGGCCAGGAGGAACAUGAGUUCUCAGCACGUGGAGUACAGAGGAGAAGCUUCAUAAAUGCAGCUGAGUGGAUUAAUUCCGGGAAGCUCCCGUAAGGACCAGCUCCCCUAAGUUACACCCGAUACUCCUGCACCAUUGUGAAUAUAAAAUUGCCAUGAACACACACACACACACACACACACACACACACACAAAUUGCUAUGAACACACACACACCAGUGAAAACUCACUGCCCUGUUUCCACCCUGGCCCUCCAGCUAUUUUCUGCUUCUCAGACUAAAAUGACCUGAAGUGCCUUCCCUGAAACAGGGGUUCCCAUACUGUUCCCAAGGCCUGCGUGUUCUCAUAUGUCAGCUGCCACAUCUCACAGCAGGGUGUGACCAAGCUUUUUGGGCCUGCACACAGGAGGGGCUUCCUGGGCACAAGGUGAACAGGCAAACUUGACCCUGUCUCUACUAAAAAUAUGAAAAUUAGACUGGGCACAGUCACUCACGCCUGUAAUCCCACCAUUUUGGGAAGCUGAGGCAGGUGGAUCGCCUGAGGUCAGAAGUUCGAGACCAGUUUGGCAAACGUGGUGAAACCCCAUCUCUACUAAAAUUACAACAAAUUAGCUGGGCAUGGUGUCAGGCGCCUGUAAUCCCAGCUACUCAGGAGGCUGAGGCAGGAGAAUUGCUUGAACCCGGGAGGCAGAAGUUGCAGGCAGCCAAACUCGGGCCACCGCACUCCACCCUGGAUGACAGAGUAAGACUUGGUCUCUAAAUAAAUAAAUAAAUAGAAGGUAGGUGCUUUGCUUCAGCAGCACAUAUACUGCUAAAUUGGAACAACAAAGAGAUGAUUAGCGUGGCCCCUGUGCAAGCGUGAUACGAAAAUUGUGAAAUGUUCCUUUGCAAGAAAAAAAAAAAAA
ensembl:lncRNA RRP7BP ribosomal RNA processing 7 homolog B, pseudogene